GACGUAGGAGGCGAGCGUUGCCCGGAUUCAUUGGGCGUAAAGGGCUCGUAGGUGGCCAACUAAGUCAGACGUGAAAUCCCUCGGCUUAACCGGGGAACUGCGUCUGAUACUGGAUGGCUUGAGAUCGGGAGAGGGAUGCGGAAUUCCAGGUGUAGCGGUGAAAUGCGUAGAUAUCUGGAGGAACACCGGUGGCGAAGGCGGCAUCCUGGACCGACACUGACGCUGAGGAGCGAAAGCCAGGGGAGCAAACGGG
rnacentral:rRNA from 1 species